UCUUUGCUAGUAUAUCGGUUAGUACACGCGCCUGUCACGCGCGUAAGCUGGGUUCGACUCCCAGGCAGGGAG